UACGGAGGAUCCAAGCGUUGUCCGGAUUUAUUGGGUUUAAAGGGUGCGUAGGCGGCGUAGUAAGUCCGUGGUGAAAGCCAACAGCUCAACUGUUGAACUGCCAUGGAUACUGCUAGGCUUGAGUACAGACGAGGUAGGCGGAAUGGAUAGUGUAGCGGUGAAAUGCAUAGAUACUAUCCAGAACACCGAUUGCGAAGGCAGCUUACUAGACUGUAACUGACGCUGAGGCACGAAAGCGUGGGGAGCGAACAGG
rnacentral:rRNA from 1 species